rnacentral:lncRNA from 1 species
UAAACUUUGGGAUGAUGAUGACUUGCCGUGCUCCACAAAUAACCAACUGCUAUUUGCGGCUGCAACAUCUAUUGAAGCAGAGAUGGGGCAACAACUAGGUUCUGGACUAGCGCUUGGUUACAGGGAUGGCGCCCCUGCGAUAUGGCACCACACCUAUUCGUCACUCAAACAGGUGCUAACAAAUAAUAAAUGGAUAAGAGACAUUAAUCUACGACACCGUUCAUUCUCUGCACAACACUUCGU